rnacentral:lncRNA from 1 species
UUAGCUUCUAUUGCGCUUUCUGAAAUUUAAUCAUUGAUUUGUUGAUUGGUUUAUGUGGUUGUAGUAUGGUUCAUAUGAAGCAUUAUAGCUUUUAGCUUUUUUUUGAUAAAUAUAUAUAUAUAUAUAUAUAUAUUCAAGUCUUAAACCAGUUAUAAAUGCUAAAACAGUUUUUAGCUUUUUUCUGAUAUAUAUAUAUAUAUAUUCAAGUCUUAAACCCAUGUCCAUGACUCAUGACUCAUAGGUUCAUGAGAUGAAGUUAAAACUUGUCUUGGUUGUAUAUGCUUUUUAAUUUUCUAAGUUUCUUGGUUGUAUAUGUGAUAAGAACUGAUUUGCUUCAGAUGCAUGCAUAUAUGUGAAAUUACUAAUAGCAUGAGUGAAGAAUGUUUGGAACUUAAAAUCCUAUAUGUCUGUUUCAAGGUAUUUGGACUAUAUUGAAAAAAGAUGGAAUCGGCGAGGUCGUGCAAAUGAUGAACUGAUUUAGAAUGGCAACACAAGCAUUGGCACAACCUCUUCAGAAUGCAGAUGAGCUCAUUGAUUUAUUUCAAACUUCUUAUAUGAACAGAGCUAAUAUGAACUCAAAA